UACGGAGGGGACUAGCGUUGUUCGGAAUUACUGGGCGUAAAGGGCGCGUAGGCGGCCCUCUAAGUCGAACGUGAAAUCCCCGGGCUCAACCCGGGAACUGCGUCCGAUACUGGAGGGCUCGAAUCCGGGAGAGGGAUGUGGAAUUCCCGGUGUAGUGGUGAAAUGCGUAGAUAUCGGGAGGAACACCAGUGGCGAAGGCGGCUUUCUGGCCUGUUCUUGACGCUGAGGCGCGAAAGCCAGGGGAGCAAACGGG
rnacentral:rRNA from 1 species